rnacentral:rRNA from 1 species
AUGGUGUUGCUUGACAUUAGGGGUAUGUUGCAGUCCAUGGGUAAAGACAUUGUUGAUUUCGCUCUUCCAAGCAUAGAUGAUGUGUUUGACCCAACAGAGGGCGAGGCAAGAGAGAUCAUCGAGGAAUGAACCGUUGAGUUUGACAUGGAUGACACUAAAUUGGCAUCUUCCCUGAACUUGGAGCAGAGGGCCGCAUACGACGGGAUAUUAGGGGCUGUUGAACGCGGUGAUGGGGGUGUAUUCUUUGUUGAUGGCCCUGGAGGUAGAGGGAAGACAUUCCUAUAUAGGGUGAUGCUUGCCAAGGUGAGGAGCGAGGGCAAGAUUGGUAUCGCUACCGCGACGUCGGGCGUCGCCGCUUCUAUCAUGCCUGGCGGCAGGACAACCCACUCAAGGUUCAAGAUCCCAUUA